rnacentral:rRNA from 2 species
UCGGCAGCUAUAAUGCAAGUCGAGCGAACAGAUGAGAAGCUUGCUUCUCUGAUGUUAGCGGCGGACGGGUGAGUAACACGUGGGUAACCUACCUAUAAGACUGGGAUAACUCCGGGAAACCGGGGCUAAUACCGGAUAAUAUAUUGAACCGCAUGGUUCAAUGUUGAAAGACGGUUUCGGCUGUCACUUAUAGAUGGACCCGCGCCGUAUUAGCUAGUUGGUAAGGUAACGGCUUACCAAGGCAACGAUACGUAGCCGACCUGAGAGGGUGAUCGGCCACACUGGAACUGAGACACGGUCCAGACUCCUACGGGAGGCAGCAGUAGGGAAUCUUCCGCAAUGGGCGAAAGCCUGACGGAGCAACGCCGCGUGAGUGAUGAAGGUCUUAGGAUCGUAAAACUCUGUUGUUAGGGAAGAACAAAUUUGUUAGUAACUGAACAAGUCUUGACGGUACCUAACCAGAAAGCCACGGCUAACUACGUGCCAGCAGCCGCGGUAAUACGUAGGUGGCAAGCGUUAUCCGGAAUUAUUGGGCGUAAAGCGCGCGUAGGCGGUUUCUUAAGUCUGAUGUGAAAGCCCACGGCUCAACCGUGGAGGGUCAUUGGAAACUGGGGAACUUGAGUGCAGAAGAGGAGAGUGGAAUUCCAUGUGUAGCGGUGAAAUGCGCAGAGAUAUGGAGGAACACCAGUGGCGAAGGCGGCUCUCUGGUCUGUAACUGACGCUGAUGUGCGAAAGCGUGGGGAUCAAACAGGAUUAGAUACCCUGGUAGUCCACGCCGUAAACGAUGAGUGCUAAGUGUUAGGGGGUUUCCGCCCCUUAGUGCUGCAGCUAACGCAUUAAGCACUCCGCCUGGGGAGUACGACCGCAAGGUUGAAACUCC